UUGCCUUUCCCUAUUCCCUAUUCUUCACUUCGCGUCAUUACCGGCGGUGUGCCUUCUGCAAGUCUUCAUCUUCCAACUUGUAAAUUCCAGAGGAGCAGUACGGCAGUCGCGCCACCUCUCCCAGCACUGGCUCCGUCGUCGGUGAGGAUUCUUCGGACUCGAACUUGGAUUCAAUGAAGAACCAACUUCCUAAUCGUCUGUCAAGUCAAAAUUAGCCGUGUCCGCCACAUAUCCCAUACCCGUACACGGGUACUCCAGCCGAAGUGAAGAGUCCGAGCGUCACAGCCCCUAAAUUAAAACCCUCAAAACUUUCAUUGUAGCCAAACAGCCUGAAUCAGCGUCUCCAUUCUUCAACUUGAACUUCAAUUGGUUUCAGUUUCGGACGUUAAAAUUUAUUUCUAUUUAUCUUAUUCACUGUUUCAUGCUAACAAAUAGAUUGACAAUGAAGACGUCGAAGAAUAAAAAGCAGCACAAAGAAGAGGGGCCUGAAAAUAUAAAUGGGACUUUAAGAAUAAUAGAACAGCAAUUAGACCAAGCAGCUGAUAAGUACGAAGAUUCUUCCUCCGAUUAUGAUUUUGAAGCUGUUGAAAAUGAGGUAAUUACUGCUUAAUUCCAAAAUAUUUUAUUUAGGACUCUAUUUAUGUUCUUGGUGCAAAUAAAUGAC
rnacentral:lncRNA from 1 species